UACGUAGGGCGCAAGCGUUGUCCGGAAUUAUUGGGCGUAAAGAGCUCGUAGGCGGCCUGUUGCGUCCGCUGUGAAAUCCCGGGGCUCAACCCCGGGUCUGCAGUGGAUACGGGCAGGCUAGAGGUAGGUAGGGGAGAAUGGAAUUCCCGGUGUAGCGGUGAAAUGCGCAGAUAUCGGGAGGAACACCGGUGGCGAAGGCGGUUCUCUGGGCCUUACCUGACGCUGAGGAGCGAAAGCGUGGGGAGCGAAACAGG
rnacentral:rRNA from 1 species